UGGGGGAUAUUGCACAAUGGGCGAAAGCCUGAUGCAGCGACGCCGCGUGGGGGAUGAAGGCUUUCGGGUUGUAAACCUCUUUCGCUAUCGAACAAGGCCCGCUUAGGGUGGGUUGAGGGUAGGUGGAGAAGAAGCGCCGGCUAACUACGUGCCAGCAGCCGCGGUAAUACGUAGGGCGCGAGCGUUGUCCGGAAUUAUUGGGCGUAAAGGGCUUGUAGGCGGCUUGUUGCGCCUGCUGGUAAAACGCGGGGCUUAACUUCGCGCGUGCAGUGGGUACGGGCAGGCUUGAGUGUGGUAGGGGUGACUGGAAUUCCAGGUGUAGCGGUGGAAUGCGCAGAUAUCUGGAGGAACACCGAUGGCGAAGGCAGGUCACUGGGCCAUUACUGACGCUGAGGAGCGAAAGCAUGGGUAGCGAACAGG
rnacentral:rRNA from 1 species